AGGUGUGGUGGCGCACGCCUGUAAUCCCAGCAGCUUGGGAAAUGGAGGCAGGAGGAUCGCGAGUUCAAAGCCAGCCUCAGUAAAAGCUUAGCAACUCAGUGAGAUCCUAUCUCUA
rnacentral:sRNA from 1 species